UAGAUUGGCAUUCUCACCAUGUCCUGGCAUU
rnacentral:piRNA from 1 species